rnacentral:lncRNA from 1 species
GACGGGGUCGAUCUGGAAGGCCGGGACGGACGCCAACAUCACGCUGGAGCUCUACACCGCGGGCAACGCCGAGGGCGUGGCGAUCUCGGACCUGCCGUCGUGGGGCGGGCUCAUGUAUCAGGGCCACUCCUACUUCGAGCGCGGCAACCUGGACAUCUUCAGCGGGCGCGGGCCGUGCAUGGCCAGAGCGCCCUGCCGCAUGAGGGUGUCGUCCGACGGCACCGGCGCGCACCACGGCUGGUACUGCAACUACGUCGAGGUCACCGUCACCGGCCCGCACCGCGGCUGCGCCCAGCAGCUCUUCACCGUCGAGCAGUGGCUCGCCACCGACGCUGCGCCCUACAAGCUCGACGCCGUCGUCGACCGCUGCC